AGGCGGAGCGAAUCGCUAAAAGCCGUCCCAGUUCGGAUUGCAGGCUGCAACCCGCCUGCAUGAAGUUGGAAUCGCUAGUAAUCGCGGAUCAGCAUGCCGCGGUGAAUACGUUCCCGGGCCUUGUACACACCGCCCGUCACACCAUGAGAGUCGGGAACACCCGAAGUCCGUAGCCUGACCGCAAGGGGGGCGCGGCCGAAGGUGGGUUCGAUAAUUGGGGUGAAGUCGUAACAAGGUAUC
rnacentral:rRNA from 1 species